CAUGUCUUCUAGAUAAUGAUUUGAAGUCUGACCUGCUCAGUGAGUUUUAAAUAGCCGCAGUAUUUUAACUGUGCAAAGGUAGCAUAAUAAUUAGUUUCUUGAUUAGGAAAUGGAAUGAAUGGUUUGACGAGAGAAUAUCUGUCUCUUUUUUAUUAUAGUUGAACUUUAUUUUUAAGUGAAAAAGCUUAAAUAAUUAUAAAAGACGAGAAGACCCUAUAGAUUUUGAUAUUUAAGUUAAAAUUGAAAUUUAGAAUUUGUUUUUAAUAUAUUUAUUUUAUUGGGGUGAUAGGAAGAUAUAAAAAAAUUCUUUUUAGUUUUUGUUGAAUAUUUUCAAUUUUGUUUAUCUAUUUUUUGUAAAUAAAAAAUAAAUUACCUUAGGGAUAACAGCGUUAUUUUUCUUUAAAGUUCUUAUUAAAAGAAGAUUUUGCGACCUCGAUGUUGGAUUAAAAUUAAUUUUUGGUGCAAUAACUAAAAAAUUAGGUCUGUUCGACCUUUAAAAUUUUACAUGAUCUGAGUUUAGACCGGCGUGAGCCAGGUCGGAUUCUAUCUUUAUAAAAAAAAGUAUUUAUUAGUACGAAAGGACCAUAUAUAUAUUAAAUUAAUU
rnacentral:rRNA from 1 species